rnacentral:misc_RNA from 1 species
GGUUCGAUCCUGGCUCAGAUUGAACGCUGGCGGGAUGCUUUACACAUGCAAGUCGAACGGCAGCACGGACUUCGGUCUGGUGGCGAGUGGCGAACGGGUGAGUAAUGUAUCGGAACGUGCCUAGUAGCGGGGAUAACUACGCGAAAGCGUAGCUAAUACCGCAUACGCCCUUCGGGGGAAAGCGGGGGACCUUCGGGCCUCGCACUGGCCGACGGCCAUUAUCGGAUUAGCUAGUUGGUGGGGUAACGGCUCGCAAGGCGACGAUCCGUAGCUGGUUUGAGAGGACGACCAACCGCACUGGGACUGAGACACGGCCCAGACUCCUACGGGGAGGCAGCAGUGGGGAAUUUUUGGACAAUGGAAACCUGAUCCAGCCAUCCCGCGUGUGCGAUGAAGGCCUUCGGGUUGCCAGCACUUUUGGCAGGAAAAAGAAACGGCACGGGAUAAUACCCCGUGCAACUGACGGCUGCAGAAUAAGCACCGGCUAACUACGUGCCAGCAGCCGCGGUAAUACGUAGGGUGCAAGCGUUAAUCGGAAUUACUGGGCGUAAAGCGUGCGCAGGCGGUUCCGGAAAGAAGAUGCUUGAAAUCCCAGAGCUUAACUUUGGAACUGCAUUUUUAACUACCGAGCUAGAGUGUGUCAGAGGGAGGUGGAAUUCCGCGU